GUUUCCUACGGGGGGCAGCAGUGAGGAAUAUUGGUCAAUGGACGAGAGCCUGAACCAGCCAAGUCGCGUGAGGGAAGACGGUCCUAUGGAUUGUAAACCUCUUUUGUCGGGGAGCAAAAGACGCCACGCGUGGCGUUCCGAGAGUACCCGAAGAAAAAGCAUCGGCUAACUCCGUGCCAGCAGCCGCGGUAAUACGGAGGAUGCGAGCGUUAUCCGGAUUUAUUGGGUUUAAAGGGUGCGCAGGCGGAAGGUCAAGUCAGCGAUAAAAUUGAGAGGCUCAACCUC
rnacentral:rRNA from 1 species